GAAAAGCUGGUGACAAGCAUGACCAAGCAGCUGGGUGACUUCUGGACACGGAUGGAGGAGCUCCGCCGCCAAGCCCGGCAGCAGGGGGCAGAGGCAGUCCAGGCCCAGCAGCUUGCGGAAGGUGCCAGCGAGCAGGCAUUGAGUGCCCAAGAGGGAUUUGAGAGAAUAAAACAAAAGUAUGCUGAGUUGAAGGACCGGUUUGGUCAGAGUUCCAUGCUGGGUGAGCAGGGCGCCCAGAUCCAGAGUGUGAAGACAGAGGCAGAGGAGCUGUUUGCGGAGACCAUGGAGAUGAUGGACAGGAUGAAAGGUGAGGGAAUGGUUUAGGGGCAUGGACUAUUGGGCAUUCAUGAAGGCUGGUCCCAC
rnacentral:lncRNA from 1 species